UUAGAGUGAAAUUGUGAGAAGUAGACGAUUACUGUGACUAACAAACUAGAACAGGUAAAGCUAUGGAUCACUUAGUGAUUAAUAAAGUUAUUGUGAUUAACACAAACUAAUAGACUACAAGAUGUAAUUGGUAGGCAUGGCAUUAAACUUUUGAAGUUAGAACCCAAAGUACGGCUGCGUAAUUAGCUAAUGAAUAUUAAUGGUGCCUCCUACUAUGACCCAGAGGGUUAUUAGCAUGAACAUGGGAUGUACGAGCAGGUGGGGGUAACAUACCAAGGAGUUGUAUGAUGAAGGCGGACGGGAAGAAUGGGAAUUCCCAGUAUCCCAGCCAGUGGGAGAAAGGAGGCAGGGACUUUGCGCAUGAGUAGGGAAGAAGAGGCUGUGGGAACUGCUCCCCCAGGGCACUGCCUUUGGGGUGAGCGCCCGGUCUGGCCAGAACGAAUUAAACUGUCCCUGCUUGGUACUUUGCCUCCCGUAUCGUCAUUGCUUGGAUUCCAUUCCUUACAAAAUGUAACUAUUCUUUAUGGUGUUGUGAGGUGUAUCCAAUCACCUUCCUAUCCAUAUCAAAGAAUCCAAUCACCUUCCUGUGUAUUGUAUUCACUCUGCUUUUGUGCAUUCUCUAUAACCCUAAGGAAAUUAACAUGGGGUGUUCCUAUUUUAGGCACCCAUGGAUCCAUGCAUUCAGUUGUAAAUAAACCUGUCUGCUCUGACAAGAAA